UGGGGAAUAUUGCACAAUGGGCGCAAGCCUGAUGCAGCCAUGCCGCGUGUAUGAAGAAGGCCUUCGGGUUGUAAAGUACUUUCAGCGGGGAGGAAGGGAGUAAAGUUAAUACCUUUGCUCAUUGACGUUACCCGCAGAAGAAGCACCGGCUAACUCCGUGCCAGCAGCCGCGGUAAUACGGAGGGUGCAAGCGUUAAUCGGAAUUACUGGGCGUAAAGCGCACGCAGGCGGUCUGUCAAGUCGGAUGUGAAAUCCCCGGGCUCAACCUGGGAACUGCAUUCGAAAAUGGAAAGCUUGAGUCUCGUAGAGGGGGGUAGAAUUCCAGGUGUAGCGGUGAAAUGCGUAGAGAUCUGGAGGAAUACCGGUGGCGAAGGCGGCCCCCUGGACAAAGACUGACGCUCAGGUGCGAAAGCGUGGGGAGCAAACAGG
rnacentral:rRNA from 1 species